GUGGUGCAAAGGACCCUAGGGUUAAAUUAUUCCGAACCAUCACUUUCAAGGCUCUGACAAACCAACCCAACAGCUGACCAGCGGCAGGAAAGGCAGUGGGACUGACUGCCUCCCCGAGUUGGUCCAAAAAGUGUCUCGGAACACACCGAAGCGACGCAGACUUGAGCGUACGUUCUGUGUGUGCACGAGACGUAAUACCUCUCCA